GACGAACGCUGGCGGCGUGCUUAACACAUGCAAGUCGAGCGGAAAGGCCCUUUCGGGGGUACUCGAGCGGCGAACGGGUGAGUAACACGUGAGUAAUCUGCCCUUGGCUUUGGGAUAGCCACCGGAAACGGUGAUUAAUACCGGAUACGACCACUCCACGCAUCUGGUGGUGGUGGAAAGUUUUUCGGCCAGGGAUGUGCUCGCGGCCUAUCAGCUUGUUGGUGGGGUAAUGGCCUACCAAGGCUUCGACGGGUAGCCGGCCUGAGAGGGUGACCGGCCACACUGGGACUGAGACACGGCCCAGACUCCUACGGGAGGCAGCAGUGGGGAAUAUUGGACAAUGGGCGGAAGCCUGAUCCAGCAACGCCGCGUGAGGGAUGACGGCCUUCGGGUUGUAAACCUCUUUCAGUACCGACGAAGCGCAAGUGACGGUAGGUACAGAAGAAGCACCGGCCAACUACGUGCCAGCAGCCGCCGUAACAC
rnacentral:rRNA from 1 species